rnacentral:rRNA from 1 species
GAGUUGCGUAGGCGGUCGGUAAAGCGAAUAGUGAAACCUGGUGGCUCAACCAUUCAGACUAUUAUUCGAACUCACCGACUCGAGAGUAGCAGAGGUAACUGGAAUUUCUUGUGUAGGAGUGAAAUCCGUAGAUAUAAGAAGGAACACCGAUGGCGUAGGCAGGUUACUGGGCUAUUUCUGACGCUAAGGCACGAAAGCGUGGGGAGCGAACCGGAUUAGAUACCCGGGUAGUCCACGCCGUAAACGAUGGAUACUAGCUGUUGGAGGUAUCGACCCCUUCAGUAGCGAAGCUAACGCGUUAAGUAUCCCGCCUGUGGAGUACGGCCGCAAGGCUAAAACAUAAAGGAAUUGACGGGGACCCGCACAAGCGGUGGAUCGUGUUCUUUAAUUCGAUGAUAAACGAAGAACCUUACCAGGGCUUGACAUCCUAAGAAGGCUUCCGAAAGGAAACUGUGCCGUAAGGAACUUAGUGACAGGUGAUGCAUGGCCGUCGUCAGCUCGUGUCGUGAGAUGUUUGGUUAAGUCCAUCAACGAGCGCAACCCUUGUGUCUAGUUGUAUUUUUCUAGACAGACUGCCCCGGUAACGGGGAGGAAGGAGGGGAUGAUGUCAGGUCAGUAUUUCCCUUACGUCCUGGGCUAGAAACACGAUACAAUGGCUGGUACAAUGCGCCGCGAAGCCGCGAGGUGAAGCAAAUCGCACCAAAGCCAGUCCCAGUUCGGAUUGCAGGCUGAAACUCGCCUGCAUGAAGUCGGAAUCG